rnacentral:rRNA from 1 species
UACGAAGGGGGCUAGCGUUGCUCGGAAUCACUGGGCGUAAAGGGCGCGUAGGCGGCGUUUUAAGUCGGGGGUGAAAGCCUGUGGCUCAACCACAGAAUGGCCUUCGAUACUGGGACGCUUGAGUAUGGUAGAGGUUGGUGGAACUGCGAGUGUAGAGGUGAAAUUCGUAGAUAUUCGCAAGAACACCGGUGGCGAAGGCGGCCAACUGGACCAUUACUGACGUUGAGGCGCGAAAGCGUGGGGAGCAAACAGG